UACGUAGGGUGCAAGCGUUGUCCGGAAUUAUUGGGCGUAAAGAGCUCGUAGGCGGUUUGUCGCGUCGAAUGUGAAAACCCGGGGCUCAACCCCGGGCCUGCAUUCGAUACGGGCAGACUAGAGUUCGGUAGGGGAGUCUGGAAUUCCUGGUGUAGAGGUGAAAUUCGUAGAUAUCAAGCGGAACACCGGUGGCGAAGGCGGCCUUCUGGACAAUGACUGACGCUAAAACACGAAAGCGUGGGGAGCAAACAGG
rnacentral:rRNA from 1 species